AAGCUCGUAGUUGAAUUUCGGGAUUGACACAUCGGUCGUGCCUUAAGGGGUAUGAACUGGUGUAGUCAAUUUCUCACCUUCUGGAGAACCACGAUGCCCUUAAUUGGGUGUCGCGGGGAACCAGGACCUUUACUUUGAAAAAAUUAGAGUGUUUAAAGCAGGCAUUUUGCUUGAAUACAUUAGCAUGGAAUAAUAAAAUAGGACGGCAUGAUUCUAUUUUGUUGGUUUCUAGGAUCACCGUAAUGAUUAAUAGGGAUAGUUGGG
rnacentral:rRNA from 2 species